AAUAGAUACCCGGGUAGUCCACGCCGUAAACGAUGAGUGCUAAGUGUUAGAGGGUUUCCGCCCUUUAGUGCUGCAGCUAACGCAUUAAGCACUCCGCCUGGGGAGUACGGCCGCAAGGCUGAAACUCAAAGGAAUUGACGGGGGCCCGCACAAGCGGUGGAGCAUGUGGUUUAAUUCGAAGCGACGCGAAGAACCUUACCAGGUCUUGACAUCCUCUGACAACCCUAGAGAUAGGGCUUUCCCCUUCGGGGGACAGAGUGACAGGUGGUGCAUGGUUGUCGUCAGCUCGUGUCGUGAGAUGUUGGGUUAAGUCCCGCAACGAGCGCAACCCUUGAUCUUAGUUGCCAGCAUUCAGUUGGGCACUCUAAGGUGACUGCCGGUGACAAACCGGAGGAAGGUGGGGAUGACGUCAAAUCAUCAUGCCCCUUAUGACCUGGGCUACACACGUGCUACAAUGGAUGGUACAAAGGGCUGCAAACCUGCGAAGGUAAGCGAAUCCCAUAAAGCCAUUCUCAGUUCGGAUUGCAGG
rnacentral:rRNA from 1 species